rnacentral:lncRNA from 1 species
CCUUAAUUUGUUUGCUUGUCAUUUGCAUUAAAUACUCUUUCAAGUCUUGUCAUAUAUUAAUUCUCUUUGUUGUGGUCCAAUUUUAAAUUGAGUUUUUGUUGCUUAAAAAUUUGUUUGACCUCUUUCUUGGUGGAAGUAAUUAAAAAAGUGCCUUGGUGAGUUUUGGAGUUGAAAUUUUUGGUGAGAGCUAUAUCGCUAAAGAGGUGCAGAUUUGAAUACUCAAAGUUGAAUAUCCUAAAGAGGUAUAACAAGGGGGACAACAACAAGCUAGCAUAAAAAUAUACACAAAGGAGUUACAAAAAAGAAGGAGUGCAUAAAUUAGGGCUCAAAAUUUUUGGUGCUUCAAAAUUUGACGAUUCAAUUUUCAUUGUAUUUUCUUUGAGUUGUAUCUUGAAAAAACUGUGAUCAUUUAGUGGAUUAAUUGCGC